AUUGAACGCUGGCGGCAUGCUUUACACAUGCAAGUCGAACGGUAACAGGCCGCAAGGUGCUGACGAGUGGCGAACGGGUGAGUAAUGCAUCGGAACGUGCCCAGUCGUGGGGGAUAACGCAGCGAAAGCUGUGCUAAUACCGCAUACGAUCUAUGGAUGAAAGCGGGGGACCGUAAGGCCUCGCGCGAUUGGAGCGGCCGAUGUCAGAUUAGGUAGUUGGUGGGGUAAAGGCUCACCAAGCCGACGAUCUGUAGCUGGUCUGAGAGGACGACCAGCCACACUGGGACUGAGACACGGCCCAGACUCCUACGGGAGGCAGCAGUGGGGAAUUUUGGACAAUGGGCGCAAGCCUGAUCCAGCAAUGCCGCGUGCAGGAAGAAGGCCUUCGGGUUGUAAACUGCUUUUGUACGGAACGAAAAGCUCUGGGUUAAUACCCUGGGGUGAUGACGGUACCGUAAGAAUAAGCACCGGCUAACUACGUGCCAGCAGCCGCGGUAAUACGUAGGGUGCGAGCGUUAAUCGGAAUUACUGGGCGUAAAGCGUGCGCAGGCGGUUUUGUAAGACAGGCGUGAAAUCCCCGGGCUCAACCUGGGAAUGGCGCUUGUGACUGCAAGGCUGGAGUGCGGCAGAGGGGGAUGGAAUUCCGCGUGUAGCAGUGAAAUGCGUAGAUAUGCGGAGGAACACCGAUGGCGAAGGCAAUCCCCUGGGCCUGCACUGACGCUCAUGCACGAAAGCGUGGGGAGCAAACAGGAUUAGAUGCCCUGGUAGUCCACGCCCUAAACGAUGUCAACUGGUUGUUGGGUCUUAGCUGACUCAGUAACGAAGCU
rnacentral:rRNA from 1 species